rnacentral:tRNA from 1 species
GACCGCGGUGGCCCUGGCAUCGGACGUCGCGCAGCUUGACGCGCUGCGCAUGUCGAUCCGGACGCGGUUCGAAGGCAGCGCGCUGUCC